rnacentral:rRNA from 1 species
UGAUACUGUAUUGACGAGUAUAUUUGAAGUGGGCGGAAUGUGUCAUGUAGCGGUGAAAUGCUUAGAUAUGACACAGAACAGCCAUUUGCGAAGGCAGCUCAGUUAGUUAUAAAUGACGCUCAUGCACGAAAGCGUGGGGAUCACACAUGAUUCGCUACCUAGGUAGUGCACGCUGUAAAUGAUGCUUACUACAUGUUGGCGAUAUACAGUCAGGGUAUAAGUGAAAGCAAUAAGUAAUCCACCUGCAGAGUACGAUCGCAAGGUAGAAACUCAAGGGAAUCGACAGCGGUCCGCACAAGCGGAGGAGCAUGUGGUAUAAUUAGAACAUACGCGAGGAUCCUCACGCAGGGGAGAAUGCUAUAAUAUGCAAGAAGGUGUUCGCAGAAAUGCACAGAAAAUUCCAAGCUGUUGCAUGGCUGUGUUCAGCUAUUGCUGUGAGGUCCAGGGUUAAGUCCCAUACCGAGCGCAA